GGGAAGUUGACUCAGUGGUAGAGUGCUUGCCUCGCAUGCAUGAGGCCCUAGGUUCAAGUCCUCACCA
rfam:Dipodomys ordii contig_80218, whole genome shotgun sequence.